UUUUUCCUGCAUUGGUUCAAGGGUGUUGAACUCGAGCUCAGGAAACUUGAAGGAGCAGUAGAAGCCAUCCAUGGUUAUCUAAUUUAUAUGAAGGAUAAGGAAGCAAGGAUGAGAGAAGUCAGUGAAAAAACAAAUAGCAGAGUUGCUUGGUAUAGCGUCAUGUCUCUUGGUAUCUGCGUUUUGGUUUCUUUAUUACAAGUGUGGCAUCUGAAGCGGUUUUUUCUGAAGAAGAAACUCAUAUAGAUGUUGCUUUCAUAUGAGACUUUCACAUCACAAUAUUUUUACUCAACUUUUGGAUAGUCUAGGAUGAAUUCUAUGUUGUAUAGCUUUUUGUUUGUUGAUACUUACUAUGUAUCAUUAGGGGUGCCCCUGCAAAGGGAUAUGUGGUGUUACAUUUCAAUUUUAUAUAGAUAUGCUGAUAUGCUUAAUUGAAGAGCUAGCUA